ensembl:lncRNA
CUAGGGAGCGAUGGUGCGUGUGUGCGCGUGGGGUGAGGGGUGUGGGCGUGAGAAAUCCCGGCCCAGCCACAGAGGAAGUGCGCGUGCCCGACGGUGCAAUGAUGUGUCUUGAUUUCCCCGGAGUGAGGGGUGGGGGUAGGUCUCCCCGCACAGUUGUGGGGUGGGGAUGCUGCAGGGAAUGGUGGCCCAGGACGGGCCCGUUUUCUCCUCCUUCACUGGCCUCUGCUCUUGUUCUUUCCUUUGAAGCAGCAGGCGCUGCCCAGCGUCGCAGCCGCGAUACCAGGCUAGAUGGGCCCCUGCUCUCACUGGGCCUGGCAGGUCCUGAGCAGCAGCUUGUGCAUCCCCCAGAGCCUGGACGUGCAGGGAGGUGGCGGGGGGCAUCUACCAGGCAGAGCUGUCCCUGUACGGAGACCCAGUGCGGGAAGACAUGCGGGAGCCGAAGUUCACAGCUGCUGUGGGUGAGAAGCCCAUUCCUCUCCUUUGGCAGGAGCUUUGUGGGCUCUGGAGGGCAGGGGGCAGUGUCAGAGCCAGGGGAGGCUGGAGACCGGCCCCGCUCGACGCCCAGAUGCUCGAGAGAGAUUGUUCUGUUGCCCCUCGUUCCCGGUGGAAGGAGAUUCUGAGACGGUGACAUGGUAAAAACAUGCACGUAGGGCUUGUGUCCACCUGGAGCUGGGCUGGAGCAGAACUGCGCCUCACUCCGAAUUUACAGGCCCUGGCACUGCUGCAUGCUGUAGUUCUGGCUGGAUCACCGUAGCGGAGCUUUCUGUCACCUCGAGAGAGGAACCCAACUGGCUCUUGGAUACUCAGCUGCUGUGGUGCUGGCAGCGGUGUAAAACUCUUAAGCCAGCCAGACUGCUUUGUGGGGUAGCUAUCCUUGUUCCCACCCUGAAUUCGUCUCUCCGCCUUCCAGCCUUGGCCCUUCCUUCUGCCCUUUCCUGCUAGAGCAAAGAGCUGCCAGAAAUCUCCUUGUGGCUGUGCUCGGCUGCCCAGCGCAGUGCUCUGUAGCCCCAGCGAACCAUCCUGGUCAGACAGUUCUCAAGCUGCACUGGGAAACUAGGUAAGUUGUUUGUCCCGCUGCUCCAGCCCCCCCUUACCCUCCUCUGGUGGUUAGAAACCUCUUCUUCCAGCCUGCAUUUACUCCUGGCCAUUUAUCCCCGUUUGUUUUUGUGCCAAUGCUGUCCCUUAGUAUCAGGAGCCCUUCUUCCUCCCUGGUGGUUUGGGUGCCAGCCGCUUGCUUUACCAGUUGGGAGUUGAGAUUUCCUUCCAGAAUCCCUGGUAAAGGUCCUCAGCAGCAUUGUGCCAGGAACAGAUCCCUCCUUGCAUGAGGGUUCCCCCAUUGGCUGCUGUUCUCUGAGAUCUGCUCGGCUGUGUCCAAGAUGUUGGUAUUGCAGACGUGAGGAGGAUUCGCAGACCGGCCGAAGGGGCUGGGAUGUGCCUGUCUCCCGGUUGGUAUAACAACAAGAACUGAGGGCCAGAUUCUAAAGAGAUCUGGGCACCUGAGAAGUAGAUAAAAGCACCCACUAGGCCCCUGUUGGCUUUUUAAGUGUCCAAACAGCUGUCAGUCUAGCCUGGGUGUCUGAAUUCCAUGAGCUGCAGUGAAUCAGGACCUGCAGCCCUUUG